rnacentral:lncRNA from 1 species
UUCAAGGCUACAUUCAUUUCUCUUACCUGUGUCUGUAGCGAUAGAUGGUAUUUUCUUUUCUUUUUUUUUUUUAGAUGGAGUCUCGCUCUGUGGCCCAGGCAGAAGUGCAGUGGCAUGAUCUCAGCUCACUGCAACCUCCACCUCCCAGGUUCAAGCUAUUCUCCUGCCUCAGCCUCCUGAAUAAUUCGGAUUAUAGGUGAAUGCCACCAUGCCCGGCUAAUUUUUUUUUCUUUUCUUUUUUUUUUUUUUUUUUUUUUUUUGUAUUUUUGAUAGAGGCAGGGUUUCACCAUGUUGGCCAGGCUGGUCUUAAACUCCUGACCUUGCGAUCAAUCCACCUCAGCCUCCCAAAGUGCUGGGAUUACAGGAAUGAGCCACCACACCCAGCUGAUAGAUGGUAUUUUCUAAGCAACAAAUGAGGGUAUUUGAGCCGAAAAAAACGUGCCUCUCUUCCAAGAAAGAAUGGAUAGACAAUUUCAAAAAUUAGCCAGUAUUGGGAAAUCAGCAGAGUAGUUACUGUGCUCCAAUCCCACCUCUUUCUGUAAAUGACACAUGGAGGGUAUAACACAAGGAUUUAGUCUGGGGGUGGGGCCAGGCAAGGAAGUCUAUACUGCUAGUUGGGAGGAAUCUUCACAUUGACUAAUUCUCCAUGGUCACAGAGUUCCUUUCAUACCGCUCCCUCUAAUUUCCAUUAUCAGAGUCUUUAAACCUAUGUCAAUGUAUUUCUUUUAAAAUGUGAUCCAAGAAAGGGCCACUUUAGAAGAAUGAGCUCAAAGACUGUGCUUUCCCUGCUCCUCUGACCCCACCAGGUUUCCAGCACUUCAUCUCCAGUAUCUUCAGUCUCUCCACUGUUUCUUCCAGGCCAGUUUCCAGUGGAAAGACUGCAUCUAAUGUCCUUGAGUUCUUCUUCUGUUGCUGGUUGAGAUAUGCCGUUGCCCCAGGCAGCAAUGGCAGCAGUUCAGGAUUCCCAACCUCUUUCAAAACAGGAAGCCCCACCCCUUAAGCAACCACCUUCUAGUGUAGUACAUGCUAGACCGUGCUACCUGGGAGGAGUGGAAAUAGCAUCCUCUACAGCGGCCUUUGCUCUCAGAGCACAUCAGGGCUUUGGCUCUGUGUUUCUAUUCUGUCUUUGGUCCACGGAAAUGUUUAUACUGUUUUCGAACCCUAGAAUAUAUUUUGGGCAUUUUCUUUUUAUGUUAUUUAAUACUGCUGGAUGUUUACAGUGGAAACCUACUAUGCAAUUCUGACUGGAAAUUCUGUGCAUAUUUAAACAUUGCUCAGAAUUCACCUCUUCCAUCAAAUAUCUAAACUUAUUACAACCCUGCACUUACGCUCUCCCUUUCCACCCCAAAAUACUCUGUGAGCCCUUACUCAUUCUACUUGCACUUGUAUUUGUUGGACUGUAACAAACACUUGAGUUAGUCUUUCCCCUACUGGACCUUGAGGACAAGGAGGAUGUUUAAUUUAUUUAUAUAUCUCUUGUACUUGGCACAGUGACUUGUUUAUAGUAGGCACGAAAAAUACUAAUUCAUUUCCUUCAAAAUUCCUAACACAAGUUCUUGAACAUUAGGAGGAAUUCAAUGAAUAAUUGGUUACUUAUUGAUUUGCUAGUUGAGACCAGAACCUGUACACUUCUGAAGACUUUACUUAUUCUUCUUCUUUAUCCUUUUUUUUUCUCCUUUUUCUCCCAUUUUUAGAGAGGGCAGAGAUGCAGCAAAGCAUAAGGAAAUAGAUGAGUUUAGGAGAAGAGAAUAUGCUAUAGUUACCUUUUUUCAGAAGAAAAGAAAUGAAAGCAUUUUCCAUAAUAUUUUGUUAGAGGUUGGUCUAUUCUUGUUUUACUGAAUAUAGCUGGGUUUGGAGCUGAGAACACAGGUCCUUUCCUGCUGUGCAUAAAAACAAUUAUCUACAGAAGGGAAACUCUAGCAAUAUAUCAAUGCCAGGCCUUUAUACACUUGUUGGUAUUCUGAUGGUGAAGACAUGUAUGUCAUUUGGCACUGCAGUUCCUUCUUUGUUUCGGCUGUGAUAGUGAUCCAGGAUCCUAGCAAUCUAAACAUCAUCUUACUUCGAAUUACCAAGCUUUGAAGCCUUUGCCAUUACUCACUUUAUAAGUCGUAACUUAGUAAAGAGAACAUCAUAUGAGAGUGAUUUUUCUUCCCUAUCUGAUUUUUACAUCUUCUGGUUGCAAACAGCAAUUUACCUAUUCCUCUUAUCUGAUACCUCACAGAGUGACAACAUCAGAAACUAGUUAGGACACUCACCUGGCAGAGACUGGAAUUUAGUGGUUGGUACUGACUGAUGAUAUAAACAAUUAAUUAUUUACUCUCUUCAUUCCUUAUUUCAAAAGUUACUAAUAAAUGAAGCCAGUCAAGCUAUUUCUUACAUUUUAUUAUUUUUAAAUUUUAUAUUUUUAUUUUAAUUUUAUAUUUUUAAAUUUUAUUAUAAAAAUAAAUUUUAUUAAAUUUAUUUUAUAAGGAUUUUAUUUUAUAAGGAUUCUGUGAGUACUUAAAUGAGAAACAUAAAGAACUUUGUCUCACUCAUGUUGGAAUCAUAGCUCUUUAGGAAAAAAGUAGCAUCUCUCUAGACAUAAAAUAACAACUAUAAGUUGCUAUAGAAACAACAGCUCUCAAAGCCAGUAGAGAACAUUUUUAAAAAGGGUGCCCCUUAGAAUCUCAGGUAGCCUCCAAAAUGCUUACACCCAAAGAAAAAGUAUUUUACAUAGACGGGCUUAGUUUAGAGGUUUAAGAUGAUUUCAUCUUUAAAUAGAUAGCCUUUACUCUCCGUUGUGAUUUUUAUACUGUUUUAGAUUUCUUAAAAAGUUUUCCCCUCUCUAUUUUUCAGACCCAUUAGGCUUCAUGUCAUCUCAGCUGACUAGCAUCUGUGGCCUGGCACUUGUUUUGACUAAGUAAUCAUAUGCCUUUCUCUACCUAGUGCAGCCCCUGGAACCUUAUCUGCUAGGACCAGCCUUUCACUGCCCUAGGAAGGCCUCCCAGUUGCGUGUUACAUCUGUUUUUCUCUGGAAGAAAACAAGAGAAAACAAUUAAGAAGGUUGAUUUUACCCUAUACAUAAGAAACUUCAAUU